GCAAUCCGUGAUCCAUGCAGGACAAAGGACCAUUUCAAGAGAGUGCUGCAGAGCAGUCUCAGAGGAUUUGGACUGAAAUGAAGCUGCUGCAUUGAAGGUCUAGGAGGUCAUAGGUAAUCUUGGCAAGAGAAGUCGUCAUAAAAGAUAGUAACAAAGUAAGAUGAAAACGUUCUAGGAAGUGAGUGGAAGGUAGUAAUGCGAGGUGGGUAAAUAUAAAUUACAUUUUUAUUAAUAUUUUUCUGAUUUUUUUUUGUCAGUGAAUGAAAAGAGAGACAAUGAUGACUAGAGGAGGACAGUUCAAGCUUUUUCAAUAACAUUCAGGAACUAUCCAAUAUUGAUUAUCCAUUAUGUGCCAAGCACCUUGAUAGGUCCUAUAGAUCUGAGAUGCAGUGCCUAGCUUAGCUCUCACAGUCUACUGGAGGACACAGAGGCAGUUGCAAUACAAUGUGGCACUGAGUGCUGUCUGUAUAUGGUGGUGAAUGGAGGCUGCUGUGGGAGAAUAUACAAACAUCUAACAGGGAUAAGUAAUAGGUUUAUGGAAUGCUUUCUGGGGCAAGUGAAGCCUGAAUUCAGGCCUUUGAGCUGAGGUCUGAAUGAUGAGCAUGGGUGGGGAGCAGUUUCCAGGAAGGAGGUAGUGCCUGUGCAGAGGCUCAGAGGAAGAGGGAACUGAAAUUAGUCCUGUCUAGUUGCAACUUAGAGUCGGGUAUACUGACGGGGGUUAACAAAGAGCCAUUGAAGUUUUAAAGUAGAGGAAUGAUAUCUUCAGAUUUGCAUUUUAUAAAGCUCUUCUGCUUUAUAAGAUGGAAGACAGUCUGUUACUCUUUUUUAGACUCAUGGUUUGAUGAUUAAACACCUGAUAGGAGUCAUGGUCAAGGCGGGAAACAGAUAUCAUAUUCAAAUGUUUAAAUGAGGAAAGUUUAAUGAAAGGACUCUUCGCAGAGUUGACAGGGUAAGGGACCCACAGUCUAGAGAGAAGUUGAAAGGAAGAGGGGACAAAUAUCCUGAUUUCUCUCAUCUCCUACUUUCUGAUCUCUUGGUGGUGCCUCCCAUGAUCCAACACCAAUCAAGGCCAGAGGGUAGAGGGCACCAGAACAUACAGUUCAUAGAGGACAGACUCUUGGGUCACAAAGUAGGGCACUGAAAGGUAUAGAAUGGAUGGAAGAGGAUGGAAAGCCACCAGCACACAAAUGAUAUAGUCAGGGUUCACCGUAGGAAGCCAAAACCAUUCUGGAUAUUUCAGAAAAACAAAGGGAUUCCAUCCAGGCAAUUCAUUGCUUCUGAAAGCUGUAGAAGGGCUGGAGGAGUUGAGGUGAGCAGCCUGCUGAAUUCAAAGUCACAUGCCUUGUGGUAAACAUUGCUAGUGUCCACUAGUAUCUGGUCCUCCUUUACUUCUGAGCAUAUGGGAAUUUACUGUUCCCAGUUCCCUUGCAGUUGGGUGGGGCCUUGUGAUGAGUUGUAACCAAUAAAAUGUGAGAAGUGUCACUUCCAGGAUGAGACAGUGAAAAGCCUUUGAGCAGUUCUCUAGACUAUCUCUUCCCUGCCACAAUAGUCGUGGAGGAGGCCUUGGGUUAAGAUGUAGCAGCCACUAGAUUGAAGUAGCCCAGAUCUCUGAGUCAGCACAUGGAAAGCAACUGCCCACACCUGCAGGAAACAUUUUUGUCUGUGAGAAAGAAACUUUUUUACAUUAAGCCACUGAGAUUUUGGGGGUUGCUUGUCACUACAGCAUAAGGCUAGCUUAUUUUAACAUACACUGUAGCUGGGAUGGGAUGCUGACACUAGAACACGCUGCCGCCGUCACCGCCACUGGUUCUCACAGCUAUCAAGACUGUGAGGAGUUUGAAUGCCACAGACAUGUCAUCACACCUUGCUUGCAAGUGACACAGCAGCAAGAGAGAGCCUCCAUUUCACUUGUACCUGUGUUUUCAUAAGGGCAUUUAUUUGACAGGCCUUAUUUGCACCUAAAACUUGAGUGUCAAGGGAGUCUGAGAAAUGUAAUUUUCAGUUUUCCAACUGAAAGGUGGUGGAAUGAAUAGGAUGGUGGAAUGAAUGUUAAGACAGCAGGUCUAAGCAUCUACUCCAGUACUUAUAAUGCAAGUUUCUUAAAGACAGAGGUGAUUUGCUGAUCAUCUGUGUAUCUUUUCUUUAUAUCCCAGUACCUAGUGGGUAUUCAAUACAUAUUUUUUGAAAUGAUCUGAAUUUAUAGGCCUAUCCUUACUGUUUUAACUCUCAGGUAAAACAAUAGGGUGAAUAGAUGUGUGCUAAGACUGCUUGCUGCCAGAGGUGUGACAGUUCUUACAGGCUUAUUCAAUUCUCUUGAAAAGCAUUUACUACCGCUUAAAACUGUGUACACUCCCCCUUUACCUUUCCCCUAUGAAGAGGAUAUUUAAGUCUCAACCCUCUGGUCUUUCUUUGAGUCUCAUAUUUGCACUGCUACUCUGUCCAUGUGCAUUAAUAAAUUUGUAUGCAUUUUCUCCUGUGAAUUGAUUUUCCCCUCUGUCUAUUUUCAGUCAUUUCGGCAAACCUUCAGAAGGCAGAGGGGAAGCUUUCCCAUCAACCUUAUACCUGUAGUAAUUUGGAAAAAAGGUGCUACUGCAAGACUCAGUUCCAGCCAGUGGAAUGUGUGCAACUUCCAGGCCUGGCCCAUAAAAACCUCUUGCAUGUGAUCCUUUCACUCUUCUCCCAUUUGAUGGCUGGAUAUUGACAUCAAGGAUGAUGCCAGAUGCCAGAUGUGGAAGAUGGGAAAGCCUCUACCUGUCUGGAUCCCUAUUGGCAAUUUAUAACCAGGUUAUCAGUCUGUGAGCUGUAGUGAUCAACUGGUAACACCCACUUUGAAAAUUUUCAAGACCAACAUCAUCUCAGCCAUAAGUGGUGUCUGGAACCCCAGUGAGACCGAGCUGUUCACUCCCCUGAAAAGGGGGCUGAAGCCAGGGAGCCAAGUGGUCUAGUUCAGCAGAUCCCACCCCAUGGAGCCC